AUUGAACGCUGGCGGCAGGCUUAACACAUGCAAGUCGAACGAAGUGGCGAACGGGUGAGUAAUACGUGGGUAACCUGCCCUCCUUUGUGGGUUAAGCCUUGGAAACGGGGUCUAAUACGGAAUAAGGGGGGAUGGGCUGGCGGCAUAUCGGCUUGUUGGUGGGGUGAUGGCCUAGCAAGGCGGUGACGGGUAGCUGGGCUGAGGGGGUGCACGGCGACAGAGGGACUGAGAUACGGCCCAGGCGAGUACGGGGUGCAGCAGUGGGGGAUAUGGGAGAAAGGGCGAAGGACCGAUGCAGCGACGACGCGGGGGGGAUGAAGGCUUUCGGGUUGUAAAACUCGUGCGCUAUCGAACCGGUAGGUGGAGAAGAAGCGCCGGCUAACUACGUGCCAGCAGCCGCGGUAAUUC
rnacentral:rRNA from 1 species